rnacentral:rRNA from 1 species
UACGGGGGGGGCAAGCGUUGUUCGGAAUUACUGGGCGUAAAGGGCUCGUAGGUGGCCAACUAAGUCAGACGUGAAAUCCCUCGGCUUAACCGGGGAACUGCGUCUGAUACUGGAUGGCUUGAGAUUGGGAGAGGGAUGCGGAAUUCCAGGUGUAGCGGUGAAAUGCGUAGAUAUCUGGAGGAGCACCGGUGGCGAAGGCGGCAUCCUGGACCAACACUGACACUGAGGAGCGAAAGCCAGGGAGCAAACGGG